rnacentral:lncRNA from 1 species
AUCAAUAAAAGGCAAGUUUGAUUUUCAUUCAAGUGUGAUGUAUCCUUGAAUCGUCCAUGGAAUUAAUAUUUCGAUAUAUAUUCUCAAGAUGUUGAGAAUUAAAGAUAUGUAUAUAAUUUCUAAAUGCCCUCGGUUAUAGUAUCAUCAUAAAAACAGUAAUCGAUCCAGAUAGAUCGAUGCACAGAUCACUUCCUUCGGGAUAGAUGAGUCUCUGAUUUAUAGUGUAGAGACACUGAAUGACGAGUGCGGAUAGUUGUUAGAGAAUAACUAGUACUGAGCGUGACCAUAUGAGAGAUCAUUUGAAUUUCUACUCGAUCAUCAGUGAUUAUCUCGAUACUGUAGUUGUAUGAAUGAUCUUUUGAUCUACGAUAGUAUAACUACUCAUAGUGAGGCCACUGGAGUUUGACUGACACAUAAACAUGAUCUCAAUGAGUCCUUAUAGUAGAUGUUGAUGACAGUUGGUCUACUAUAGGAGUGAGGUACGCAUCUAGAUGAAAUCUAUCGACCUUGAUAGAGAGUAGUCCUAUGAGAUUUGAGAGGCUAAGUCCGAGAGUCCGUAGUCACAACAGUGUGAUUGGUGGAAAAAAAAUUUUCAUAAGGAUCGCAAUUGGACUUGAGCUAAUCGAAGCUAUCAUAAGAUUGAUGAUGAGGUUUGAUGAUUUAUCCAUGACUUGCCAUAUAGUCAGGACUCACGAUAGAGGAACUAAAUCACAUGUGAACUACAUCUUGAGAUUCUUUUUCGAUUCUGCUGGAUUUUCACUACAAACUACUAAAUAUUAUUGAUGGAUAGUGAGAGCUCUUUAGGAUUGCUCAGGAUCAUAAUCCUUGAUGAGUUAGAGUGGAACUGUUCUAACCAAUUGAAAGGAGUUUUAAUGAUACUAAUUAAAGAUCAUCGUAUAUCUUACUAUCAGAUAGAAUUAAAUCUAUAGAGUCAUGCAACAAAAGGAUUAGACCUGGAAUAAGUAAUUAGACUUAUGAAGUCUCAAUUGGGUUUAGAGAAAUCCUAUUGGAUUCGAAGUAACCUUACUGGCACAUGGUUGAACCCAAUUUUCUCUUUGUGUUUGAAUUUCUUAUUUGAUAAGAUUAAUUCAAGUUUAAUUACCUACUAAUAACCUAAAUGAAUUAGAUUCAUUACUCUCUAAUUGUUGGGUGCCUAGAGUUUUGGAUCAAAUGAAUUAAGGGUUCAAAUCGUUAAUCAAUUUCUUUAUAGUUUUGAUUGGAUGCCACCUGAUUUGAUCAAGUUGGACAUGCACACACUAGAGAGGGCGUGUGGAUCUGACUGGGGCAUCCCAUGGCAGCCAUGUGGCGUGUGUAUUUUUGGUGCAAGGGCUCCAAAAGUUAGUGCCUAAAAGAUCUCCUAAAUGAGAUUAAAUAACUAAAGGAAUAAGAAUUCCUAAUGCAAGUAAGACUUGUAUUAAGUGAUUGUUUGAUUUUGAAUAGAAUAUAAACCUUAUGCCUAUUUAAAGGGGUUUUCCCUAAGACUCCUUAGCUCUGAAUUCCAACAGCCCACACCUCCCUUAGAAGCUCCCCACGGCCCAUCUCUCUUCUCCCCUUGAAGUCUAAUGCCCAAGGUGUUGGGCGUCCCACUUCUCCACAUCCAAGAGGAGAUUGGGCAUCCCUUUGCUUACUAAUUUUUCAGUCUUUGAUUGCUUCAUAAUAAAGAAAAGAAAAGCAAGAGAAAAAAAAAAGAAAAGGAUCAAAAAAUUGAUCGCAAUCCAGACUUCAUUCAUAUUCGCAGACUGAUUGUUUUUAAAGAAGAAAGAUCAAGACUAAAGAGGGCUCUUCUAGAUUGAUCCUGAGUGGAUACCUAUAGAAGCCAAAUAUUUGCAUGACUAAGAGAGAACUUACUCUCUUCUAAAUCUAAAUUUGAAGAAAAAAACUAUGAAACAGAUAUGUGAUUCGAUCACAUAUUCAAUUUUAGCAUAAAAUUCAACAUAUAUUCAAUUUCAGCAUAUGAAAUAGAUCCUUAUGUUCUAUAUUUUAUGCAUGCAUGAUUAAGAUUAAAAGAUAUUUUAAUCUUCUAUUCCGCUAUGUUGUUCAGAAAAAUUUUUUUAAAAAUAUACAUGCGUGCCCCUCACCAAAUUUCAAUAAUCCUAACCUAAUUAAAACUUCAUAAGUUCAAUUAGUUAAUUCAAAAUUAAUCCCUUAAUAUGUGAUCUCAUAGAUUUUAUUCUAUCUGGUAGUAAGAUAUAUUGUGAUCUCCAUUACAAUAUCAUCAAAACUCUUUUCGAUGGGUUGGAACAAUUCUAGCUCUAUCCUUCGAGGAUCAUCGAUUAUCAAGAUGAUACCCGAUGAGUCCCACAAUCCAUCAGUGAUACCUAACAAUAUGUAGUGGCAAUCCAGUAAAAUGAAAAUGUGAAUCCCUAGGUGCAAUUAUCAUAUGAUUCAGUCUUUUUAUUAUUAGUUUUGACUUGACGGAGGUUAUGAAAAAUUCGUCAGACUCCAUCGUCAGUCAUAUGUUAGAUUGACUCGACUCGAGUUCACUUGUGAAUCUUGUGAAAACUCUUUUUCAGUAUUCACACUUGCUUUGGUCAAAAAUUUUCUAAACUCAGUCUCGCAAAUCAUAUAGGACUUCUUCUUUUCUACCAAGAUCGAUAGAUUCUUUUUAGAUACAUUCUACUCCUAACAGUGAAUCUGAACCUACUGUAGCCAACAUACACAUUAAGAAUCCGAAUAGCUAAGGACCCAGAAAAUAUGCAGUCAAACUCAGUAAUUUCACUGUAAAUAACUGAUGACACCGUAGGACAAAAGACCGCUCAUACCACCACAGUAUCGAGAUAACCACUGACGAGUGAGUAGACAUCCAAGUGAUUUUUCGUGUUGGUCACGCUUAGUGCAAGUUGUUCUCUAAUAACCAUCCGUACUCUCAUCCCAGCAUCCCUACACUGC